UUCCAGACUCCUACGGGAGGCAGCAGUGGGGAAUAUUGCACAAUGGGGGAAACCCUGAUGCAGCGACGCCGCGUGAGUGAAGAAGUAUUUCGGUAUGUAAAGCUCUAUCAGCAGGGAAGAAAAUGACGGUACCUGACUAAGAAGCCCCGGCUAACUACGUGCCAGCAGCCGCGGUAAUACGUAGGGGGCAAGCGUUGUCCGGAAUUACUGGGUGUAAAGGGAGUGUAGGCGGGAAGGCAAGUCAGAAGUGAAAAUUAUGGGCUCAACCCAUAACCUGCUUUUGAAACUGUUUUUCUUGAGUGAAGCAGAGGCAAGCGGAAUUCCUAGUGUAGCGGUGAAAUGCGUAGAUAUUAGGAGGAACACCAGUGGCGAAGGCGGCUUGCUGGGCUUUUACUGACGCUGAGGCUCGAAAGCGUGGGGAGCAAACAGGAUUAGAUACCCCGGUAGA
rnacentral:rRNA from 1 species